AACAGGGAUUGCCUUAGUAACGGCGAGUGAAGCGGCAAAAGCUCAAAUUUGAAAUCUGGCACUUUCAGUGUCCGAGUUGUAAUUUGAAGAAGGUAACUUUGGAGUUGGCCCUUGUCUAUGUUCCUUGGAACAGGACGUCACAGAGGGUGAGAAUCCCGUGCGAUGAGGUGUCCAAUUCUAUGUAAAGUGCUUUCGAAGAGUCGAGUUGUUUGGGAAUGCAGCUCUAAGUGGGUGGUAAAUUCCAUCUAAAGCUAAAUAUUGGCGAGAGACCGAUAGCGAACAAGUACAGUGAUGGAAAGAUGAAAAGAACUUUGAAAAGAGAGUGAAAAAGUACGUGAAAUUGUUGAAAGGGAAGGGCUUGAGAUCAGACUCGGUAUUUUGCAAGCCUAUCCUUCGUGGAGAGGUUUAUUAGCAGCUUACCGGGCCAGCAUCGGUUUGGAUGGUAGGAUAAUGGCAUUGGAAUGUGGCUCUUCGGAGUGUUAUAGCCUUUGUUGAUACUGCCUAUCUAGACCGAGGACUGCGUCUUUGACUAGGAUGCUGG
rnacentral:rRNA from 1 species